AAUUAAGUGUGUACGAGCGGGUAUUGGAGAUGGAUGGAUGAUCAGUUGGACGAUCGAUUAUUGCUUAAUAUAUUCCAUUCUGACGUUUGCUUUCUAUUUAAAAUCCAAAUGAUCAUUUCAAAAACGAAGUGUAAAGCUGUUUCAAACGUCUGAAUGUUGUUAGUGCCUCACACAAGCGUGUGGCAGCAUAAAAUACACUUGUUAAAAAUAUGAGAUACAAUAAUCAUACAAAAUAACUAAGUAACCUCAUAUCAUACCGAGCAUGUAAAAGUUAAGCAGCUGAAGACGCAAUUAGUAUAUAUUCUAUUAAAUAUAAUAAAAUGUAUUAUAUUACACUCAUAACACACGAGACUCAGCCCCAAAGUUUUAGUAGUUGAAAGAAAUUGCUGGAUUAGCUCGCACUAUAUUUUACCAACAUUGCAGUCGCCUAACCAUAAAUCGUUUAAAUCAAAAGAACAUUUGUGGCAAUUAUGACGGUAAUGCGAUGCAUUACCACGUCGCCACAGAGGCUUAAACAGUCGUGUUAAGAGAGGAGCAAAGCGCAUUAGUUUAAUAGCGUAAUAUGCAAACUACGGGCCGACCAAUUACGUGGCUUAAUAGCGCAUAAACGAUCGGAAUCUCCUUAUUUGGCCUACGAGGUCUGCGCUAAUUCGCCACGCGACCUGCAUUCACUUACAGUCAAGUCGCCGUCCCCCGGUUCAAAAGCCAGUGCCAGACUACUUUUAAAUGAAUACAAAUUAAUGACGCAGAAUCUGAGCGUUAAAUUAACCGUAAUUAUAUGAGUCGCAUGCUGUAAAGACAAUUUUGGAUGUUUUAAUCAGGUUACUGACUCGCCGGGCAUAGAGGACGCUAACUUCUCUGAAAUUUACAUGCAAGAGCACGGUCAUGUUGAAGAAGACUUCACUUCGGACCACUAUAUGUUUAUUUCCCUAAAAAUUAUAUAGUUUUGGCGUUAAUAGAAAUUUAAUCCAGGCAUUUCUCUGUGUAAAAUCAGUGAUUGUGCAUUAGUAGGUUUGCACCGUCGUUUAACGGUGUCAGAAGUAGGGCUAGGGUGCAGACUGGAUUUUCACGUGAGCAGAAAAGAAGUCCUUCUUAACCCAGUCGCUGCCAAAACUAGUUUUGGACUGUGACCAAAUUAGAACUUGAAAUAGGCUCCUCUUUGUCCGUUAGGGAGUUUGGUGGGACUUCAUCUAAGAAACAGGACAAGUGUUUCUGUGUUUAGUGUCCUUCACCACUGACACUCACAUUUCUGGUUCUACAUUCUGUCAGUGUACCUAUUGUCGCCUUAGUUUUCUUGCAGUCGUUACUGGAUACUCAUCGGAAUAAAUAUAUAUAAGUGUGAACAAAUCAUUGAGCAUCACUGUGGUCCUCAGGUCUUGGCCUCUACCAUGGAAAAGCUUCAGGGUACAGUUGGGGAUUAUUGACCUGUCCACGGUGCACAAUAACUGCCCUGCCACUGUGUUCUGAAGCUUCAAGGUUUCUCUAACCAUUACUUCAGGACUCUUUUUUUUUAGAAAGCUGGUUCACAUUGCUGUGAUAAAACAGUCCCUGGAAUCACCUGCUGUGAAAUUCUCAGAAUCCUCAUAUAAUGGAGAACAGCUCGUCUGACCAGACCAAAGAGAGCGCUGGACACCACAUACUGACCCUCUAACAUGGUACAUUAUCAUCUUCAUCCUGCGAAGCUCACGGCUUUGUGAUCUGCCCUGCUGGUCUCCCUCAGAAGAGCCUCACACGUCCUGGAACCUCUGAGAUGCUGCUUCCUUUAUGUUGUCCACGGGGCGGAAUCUCUGCCUUUAUUCAAAUCCAGCAGAAGAGACCCCAAGGCCACAUCAGCCCGACGGCACUGAGGGGUCAUGGGACACUCACUCAGAGGCACGGGAUGCGGAAACCGGCAGUGUCGGUACCACGGGGGAGGCACUGAGGAGGGCUACCCCCCCCCCCCCC